rnacentral:lncRNA from 1 species
AGCGUUGUUCGGAAAAUUUCCCGAGGCUCUCCCUUUCGGCACGCCUACAUCGCUGCCCUCUCAUCUCCCGCACCCACUCCCGUCUCUCAGCUAUCAUCAUAGCAUAACUCGUACCUUUGAACGAACAGAUGACGUGGGCUUGUGAAAAACAACCCACUGUUUCGGUGUCCUCGCCCCAAACGACGUUCAGAUAGAAAGUCUUCGUUACGGGUAAUGUGAAUUGGGCUGGACAACCAACCGGAUAAGUGACAGUCGAUGACCAACGGUGAAAACCACGAUCUUAGGCCGAGGAGGAGUCGAUUAGGAGGAGUCGCCCAGGGGAUGCUGCAACGCAAGGCAUACGCCGG